GCGGGUAUAGCUCAAUUGGCUAGAGCGCUAGUCUUCCAAACUGGAGGCUGUGGGUUCGAGCCCCACUACCCGCU
rnacentral:tRNA from 1 species